rnacentral:rRNA from 2 species
GAUUGCCCUAGUAACGGCGAGUGAAGCGGCAACAGCUCAAAUUUGAAAUCUGGCCUCGGCCCGAGUUGUAAUUUGCAGAGGAUGCUUCUGGCGCGGUGCCUUCCGAGUUCCCUGGAACGGGACGCCACAGAGGGUGAGAGCCCCGUAUGGUCGGACACCAAGCCUGUGUGAAGCUCCUUCGACGAGUCGAGUAGUUUGGGAAUGCUGCUCUAAAUGGGAGGUAAAUCUCUUCUAAAGCUAAAUACCGGCCAGAGACCGAUAGCGCACAAGUAGAGUGAUCGAAAGAUGAAAAGCACCUUGAAAAGGGGGUUAAAUAGUACGUGAAAUUGUUGAAAGGGAAGCACUUAUGACCAGACUUGGGCCGGGCGGCUCAUCAGGGGUUCUCCCCUGUGCACUCCGCCCGGCACAGGCCAGCAUCGGUUCUCGUGGGGGGAUAAGACCGUCAGGAACGUAGCACCCUCCGGGGUGUGUUAUAGCCUGGCGGACGAUACCCCCGUGGGGACCGAGGUCCGCGCUCCGCAAGGAUGCUGGCGUAAUGGUCAUCAGUGACCCGUCUUGAAACACGGACCAAGGAGUCGUCCAUUAGAGCGAGCGUUUGGGUGUAAAACCCGCACGCGUAAUGAAAGUGAACGCAGGUGAGAGCUUCGGCGCAUCAUCGACCGAUCCUGAUGUUCUCGGAAGGAUUUGAGUAAGAGUUUUAACGGACGGACCCGAAAGACAGUGAACUAUGCUUGUAUAGGGUGAAGCCAGAGGAAACUCUGGUGGAGGCUCGCAGCGGUUCUGACGUGCAAAUCGAUCGUCAAAUAUGAGCAUGGGGGCGAAAGACUAAUCGAAC